AACGAACGCUGGCGGCAUGCCUAACACAUGCAAGUCGAACGAGACCUUCGGGUCUAGUGGCGCACGGGUGCGUAACGCGUGGGAACCUGCCCUUAGGUUCGGAAUAACUCCCCGAAAGGGGUGCUAAUACCGGAUAAUGUCUUCGGACCAAAGAUUUAUCGCCUUUGGAUGGGCCCGCGUUGGAUUAGCUAGUUGGUAGGGUAAAAGCCUACCAAGGCGACGAUCCAUAGCUGGUCUGUGAGGAGGAUCAGCUACACUGGGACUGAGACACGGCCCAGAAUGCUACGGGAGGCAGCAGUGGGGAAUAUUGGACAAGGGGCGAAAGCCUGAUACAGCAAUGCCGCGUGAGUGAUGAAGGCCUUAGGGUUGUAAAGCUCUUUUACCCGGGAUGAUAAUGACAGUACCGGGAGAAUAAGCUCCGGCUAACUCCGUG
rnacentral:rRNA from 1 species